UCACCAGCAGCUUUCAUGCGUAACGUUCCUAUUCCUAACUCCUAUUGCAUUCAAAUACUCAAGAGAAAGGGUAGCAGUAACAUAUGUAACAUUUAUUUUAGUGGUAGAUUUGAGAGAGAGGGGGUUCAGAAGAGGAGAGGCAAAUUGCAGGUUUGUGCGUGAAUCUAACGAAAGUUCAGCCUUUCAUUAUCUUGGUACUACUUCUGCGUUAGAUUCACGCACAAACUUGUGAUUCGCUUUUCUUAACAAUUUUUUUUUUUAAUUUACACAAUGUUUGUUGCAUUCGAUUUCGAUUUCAAUUUCAAUGUCGGAUUCAGAUUUCUGUUUUGUGCGCGCACAGAGAGUCGACGUGACACCUCACGCUACCUAUGAAACUCCUUCCUUAGCUAGGCAACAACAAUAUGAUGUUGGAUUCAAAGCUUAGAUGUCAAGAAAUUCGAAGUUGGGGAUUGUAUGGAUCAAGUUUCACUUCCUUCUACCUCAAUUCUUCUCUUUUGGAUCAACUAGAGGAUGACUUGGUUAGCUGGCGAAGGGUCAUGCUGGUGGUGGCCAAGUGUUGGUGAUGCUACUCUAAUGUAGCAUGAUUGUUGUAUAAAUGUUUGACUAACAAUUGAGGAUAUUUUGUAUGUAGUUUUAUAGUUUAUGUAGAUUGUAUAUAUGUACAAGACAUAUAUGUAAUCACAUAAGGGAAUUUUUCUUUUAA